rnacentral:lncRNA from 1 species
CAAUAAACAAAAAAUUUCAGUGAAGUUGAAUUUAUUUAUAUUUUCUGAAACUUCGCAAUAAAAAAGCCCACAGUGUCCGCAUUUGCUCCGCUUGGACCGAAGCGCUGCAACAGACGAGAUUUACAUGCCUCGAAACCGGGAAGCGGAAGUCCGGGACCGCCCCACCGGGGAGUGGCAUCUGUUAGCCGCAGCUCGACAAAUUUUCUUAGUGCCCAGGCCACAAGACAUUCGCACUCAUCCUCGGUGACGGUGCACGUGCUAUAUACAAGGAUGCCGCCAGGACGAACGAGCUGCACUGCCUGUUCAAAUAGCCGGCGCUGAAUAUGGGGAUAUGAGGACAAGACCUUAACCUGUUUAAUGCUGCAGGACAACUGUGGCCGGUUGCCCAGCCCACUGCAGGGUGCAUCGAGCAAGAUUCGGUCAAAGCUUUCACAUGGAAACGGAGGCCCAGUGAAUUCUCCCACGGGUGCAGAUGGAGCGUCCGCUGCCACUGCCUCGGUGGAGUUAAAAACAUGCGCCGUUAUGCUUUUGUAGUGUCCCAAUUUGGGCAGCAUGCUGCGGACGCGACUGGCCGAAUUGUCUAGGGCCACCACAGAUCCCCGAUCGCCCAUCAACUCGGCUAUGUGGCUUGUUUUGUUACCCGGAGCGGCACACAUGUCCAGUAUGCGCUCGCCGGGCUGCGGAUCCAGGACACGGACGCAAACAAUAGAAGGCAGGUUUUGCAACAGGCCGUCUUCGCUGCUUAGAUCCCCCAGCGUGGGCACUCCGCUGACGUUGGACUGCAUUUCCACGGCCACUCCAGAGGCGGGCUUCUCCGCGUUGUUGAACAGCUGAUACCGCUGCAUUAACACCUUGCCUGUACCCAGGAAAACCUUAUUUGGGCUUUCGUACCGCUUGACCGUCCCGCGCUUGCAUUUUCCAUCCAGAUCUGCGUAGACAUUGACGAGUUCCUCCCGCUCAGUGUUUGACUCCAUAGCUAAAACACCGGGGGCGUAUAUGUGGGCGCCUCGCAGUAGUGCAGCUCCGCAGUUAGUGUCAACCACUACCUCCUUGAGCUCGGAGUCGGCCACAGCUUUGGUGAGCUGUGAGUCCAGCGGAUCAAUGCACAACAUCUCGGGUAGGUUUGGCAAGCAGUAAAUCCUUGGAGAUUUUACACCGUAGCGAAUGGCGAGUUUUUCUUCUAACUUUUUCCGAAAGUCGUCAACGGAACACCUAAGAGUGUUCACCCUGUAAGUGGUGACUUUGGGAGUAAGGCACAGCCAUUCCAACAGCGGAGCAAGUGCAGCAGACUUGACAAAACCAGGAAUUAACAGUUAAUAAAAUUUGCAAGCCAGUUUUUGUUGU